UACGUAGGGUGCAAGCGUUAAUCGGAAUUACUGGGCGUAAAGCGUGCGCAGGCGGUGAUGUAAGACCGGUGUGAAAUCCCCGGGCUUAACCUGGGAAUGGCAUUUGGGACUGCAAGGCUCGAGUGCGGCAGAGGAGACUGGAAUUCCUGGUGUAGCAGUGAAAUGCGUAGAUAUCAGGAGGAACACCGAUGGCGAAGGCAGGUCUCUGGGCUGACACUGACGCUCAUGCACGAAAGCGUGGGGAGCAAACAGG
rnacentral:rRNA from 1 species